rnacentral:rRNA from 1 species
UACGUAGGAUGCAAGCGUUGUCCGGAAUUACCGGGCGUAAAGGGCGCGCAGGUGGCACUACAAGUCUGAUGUAAAAUCUCCCGGCUUAACUGGGAGGGGCCAUUGGAAACUGUAGAGCUGGAGUGCAGGAGAGGCUAACGGAAUUCCCGGUGUAGUGGUGAAAUGCGUAGAUAUCGGGAGGAACACCAGUGGCGAAGGCGGUUAGCUGGCCUGUAACUGACACUGAGGCGCGAAGGCUAGGGGAGCGAACAGG